rnacentral:tRNA from 1 species
AAAAGAGUAGCUAUGUAGAAAAGUAUUGCUCUUACAAAGCAAAGAUAUUUGUUAGACUCAAAUCUUUUUUA